rnacentral:rRNA from 1 species
AUUGAACGCUGUCGGCAGGCCUAACACAUGCACGUCGAGCGAGCGGAGGACGGGUGAGUAAUGUAUGGGGACUGCCCGAUAGAGGGGGAUAACUACUGGAAACGGUGGCUAAUACCGCAUACUAUCGGAUAACCCAUAUGGGAUUAGCGAGUAGGUGGGGUAAAGUCUCAACUAGGCGACGAUCUCUAGCUGGUCUGUGAGGAUGAUCAGCCACACUGUGACUGAGACACGGCUCAGACUCCUACGGAGGCAGCAGUGGGGAAUAUUGCACAAUGGGCGCAAGCCUGAUGCAGCCAUGCCGCGUGGAUGAAGACGGCCUUAGGGUUGUAAAGUACUUUCAGCGGGGAGGCGUUACCCGCAGAAGAAGCACCGGCUAACUCCGUGCCAGCCGCCGCGGUAAUUC